GGGGCCCUACGGGACGCAGCAGUGAGGAAUAUUGGUCAAUGGACGGAAGUCUGAACCAGCCAUGCCGCGUGCAGGAAGACGGCUCUAUGAGUUGUAAACUGCUUUUGUACAAGGGUAAACCUGAAUACGUGUAUUCAGCUGAAAGUACUGUACGAAUAAGGAUCGGCUAACUCCGUGCCAGCAGCCGCGGUAAUACAUAGGGGGCAAGCGUUAUCCGGAAUUAUUGGGUGUAAAGGGAGCGUAGACGGAAGAACAAGUUGGUUGUGAAAUCCCUCGGCUCAACUGAGGAACUGCAACCACACCUA
rnacentral:rRNA from 1 species